GGGUUAGUGGUCUAGUGGUAUGAUUCUCGCUUCGGGUGCGAGAGGCCCGGGGUUCGAUUCCCCGCUAACCCC
rfam:Trichuris muris Edinburgh genomic scaffold, scaffold127